UAGUCAUUGUUGGCGCAGGCGACCUGUGUUUUACGUUGCGUACUUUCACAGUGCUGUGAACAUACUCUGGAAUCGGGGUGAUUCUCUGAUCUAUCAACCUGACGGUACAGCCCUGGGUGGCUCCAAUGGCACUUUUGCCCUGCAAACAGCGGGCACGGCCAUCGAGCACCGGGUGGUGGUCUCAUUGCUGGGCCGGGUGCGUACUGAAGUGAUCAACCCCUGAAACGAAACGGGUUCCAUCGGGAUGGGGCCCGACCACAAGUCGUAAAAGGUAACCGUAACACACUGGGACUGAGACACGGCCCAGACUCCUACGGGAGGCAGCAGUGGGGAAUAUUGGACAAUGGGGGCAACCCUGAUCCAGCCAUGCCGCGUGUGUGAAGAAGGCCUUCGGGUUGUAAAGCACUUUCAGCUGUGAGGAAAGGCGAGUGGUUAAUACCCGCUUGCUGUGACGUUAACAGCAGAAGAAGGACCGGCUAACUCCGUGCCAGCAGCCGCGGUAAUACGGAGGGUCCGAGCGUUAAUCGGAAUUACUGGGCGUAAAGCGCGCGUAGGUGGUUCAGUCAGUCAGAUGUGAAAGCCCCGGGCUCAACCUGGGAACUGCACCUGAUACUGCUGAGCUAGAGUACGGUAGAGGGCAGUGGAAUUUCCGGUGUAGCGGUGAAAUGCGUAGAGAUCGGAAGGAACACCAGUGGCGAAGGCGACUGCCUGGACUGAUACUGACACUGAGGUGCGAAAGCGUGGGUAGCCAAC
rnacentral:rRNA from 1 species